AGCGGCUCCAUCUCCCUUCCAUCAGUAGAGUCAUGUCUCUGUUUUGUCGGCUGCCUUGUGUGUUACAAGUGUUACUGUGUGCUUAUUGCCUGAUGUUUUGCCAAAUGUUCUCGGGACGCAAGCCUUGGGUUUCUGAAGAAAUGUCUGGGUGCAAAGAGGUUAAAUCUUUUACCACAUGGUCCAGUGUUUGAUCUCAUUGCUGUCUGCGGAAGCUUGCUGUAUACAGGUUGCCUGCCACGCUGUGUAGCAUUACAAAAGUGUCCACACUUCAAAAACACUUCAUUGGCUGUGAAGCGCGUUGAGACGUCCAGCGGUCGUAAAAGGACUGCAAGCUACAAGCCGAUUGAAGAAUUCGCACAGCCACGGGGCUUGUGUCAGGCAGACUGUUGGUGUUAAACAUGGAAAGUAAAUCGAACGUGAAGACCUCAAACAGACUGAGAAACAGCGUGGCAUCGGGCUGCCUCCUCCAGUAACUUUCACUCCUCAUUAUUCAGCUUCAACCGUUGUGGGGAGAAAGGAGGCGGUGCCUUUAGAUGGUACCUUUUCUGAUGACAAAGAGAGGUGAGGAAUGGAGGAGAGUCAGGAGCACAGAGUGGUGUGAGCAAUGAGCAGCACAAAGGAUCCAAUGGGUGUCCUGGGCAAGAUGGCAUCAAAAAAAGCAGAUUUGGAAAGAAGUCAAAUUGCAGAUGAUGGUGCAAGAAGCAAAUCACAAGAGGACAAUUUCCAUCAUGGACAAAGGUCGUGGGAAUACUGUAGGUUGUAGGUUAGGACUCAGAAGGUUGUGGGUUUGAGUGCACUUUCAAAGAUUUGAACUAAAAUUUCAGACAGUCACUCUCCAUGUGGAUCUGAUGGGAGAAUGCGUCACUGUCCGAGAUGCUGACUUUCAGGAGAGGCCCUGUAUUCUGUCUCAGGUGGAUGUCAAAAACCUCAAGAUGAUAUAUCACAGAAGUGAAAAGUAGUUCUCCCCAAGACCAGUUACUAUUUAUCCCUCAACCAACAUCUCUAGUCAUUUUCACCUUGCAGCUGCUGGGAUCUUGCUGUGUAUUAAUUAGUUGCUAUAGUUACUGCAUUUCACCACGGACUACAUUUCAGAAGUAUUUCAUUGACUUUGAAGUACAUUUACACAUCAGAUGGUUGUGAUAAAGGGCCAUAGAAACACAACUUUCUCUCUGUUUUCUUUCCUCGUAGUUGAAAUACAAAUGAGGAAUGACUAAAAUUUAUUUCGAAGCUCCUCCUAAGUACCUGUCGAAGUAAGAUUCCUUAUUAGCAUCCCAAAACUCAUAAGCUCAGCCUCCUGGUUGUCUCAGAGCAAAGUAAUCAGAUAAAAACAAAAAUUGUACCCUUUAAAGAACUUUGUGCAACUUAUUGCAACACUGUGCUUGGGUGAGAGUCAAUGACAAACAUGUGCCAACAAUGGAUUUGAUGCUGCCAGGCUAAAGAUAUUCACAACAUGUAGUUUAAGUGGUGCAUAGAUUCCUCAGCUAAGGGUGAUUAAAUUAAGUGUUUGUAGGCUAAAUGUGAACAUUUAUUAAAUGAUGUUUUGUUCUCAAAAGGCAAGCAGUGCUUUCCAGAUUACUAAAAGAGGUUAGAAGUUCAACAUUAUUCAUGAUUUAUUAAAAAAAACCUAGUCCGUAAUUUAUAAAGGAAUAGAACAAUUUUACAGUACAGAUGAAAGCCACUCAGCCCAUAAAGCCUGUGCUGGCUCUCAAGGAUGACCAUGAACAUGAGAAGCCCUUCAGGCCUCUCUAUUCAGUUAGAUGCUGGCUGAAUGGCACUACAAUGCCAUCAAUCUGCCUUUCAUUCAAAACAAAAUAUUUCAAUCUCAGUCUCCACCCAGCAAAUGUGGGAGAAAUUCUUAUAAUUUUAUUUUGUGAUAAGAUGCUUCUUGCUUUUGCUUGUGAUUGGCCCUGCUCUGAUUUCAAGAUGAUGUUCCCUUGUUCCUGAUACUUUUGUUAUAUUCAUUCAUGGGAUGUGAGGCAUAGCUGGCUGGGCCAGCUUUUAUUUACCCAUCCCUAAUUUCCCAGAAGGCAGUUGAGGACCAACCACCUUGCUGUGGGCCUGGAGUCACAUGUAGACCAGACCCGAAGCGUUAACUCUGUUUUCUCCUUCACAGAUACUGCCAGACCUGCUGAGCUUUUCCAGCAACUCUGUUUCUGUUCCUGAUUUACAGCAUCUGCAGUUCUUUUGGUUUUUAUUAAGGAUGGCAGUUGCCUUCCCUAAAGGAUAUUAGCGAGCCACCCGGGUUUACACCCCCAACAAUUGGCUCAUGGGCACCAUUAAACUCUCAAUUCCACAUUUUAUUUUAGUACAAAUUCCACCAUCUGCCAUGGUGAGAUUUGAUCUUGGAUUUCUGGAACAUUACCUGGGUCUCUGGAUGAACAGUCAGCAAUAAUAUCACUCGGUCAUCGCCUGUCCUCUUUGAAAGGUUUAUUCACAGUAUGGUUAUUUUCAUAGCCUUAUAUCAGGUCCUCUUUUAAUCUUGACUGAUCUACUCAACACACAAAUACAGAACUUCAGUCCUGGUGACAGACAUAGAAAUCUCCAAUGCAGGCAAUAUAAUGGGUGCAUCUCUCAGUGAUAUUCCAUGUGGAGGGAUUAGUGUGGAUUCAUCAGUUGAGAGCAUACACAACUGGUGAACAGUGUGAAAUUGCUCCUUCAACCAGAACCCUGAGGUUUUGAGGUAUCUGGAGUCAGGGUUGAGGAAUCUCAGGACUGCUUAUGCCCCAACCAAACCUUAUUUCUGCAUUGCCAUCUCUAUCCCGCCAAUGAAAGGUAAUGUGAGAGCAGGGGGCCAGGUGCGGAGUGUGGUGGGGACAUGUUAAAACAGAACAUGUCGCUGUGGGACACCUCUUUUAAUUUUGGCACCAUAUCAGUGAAGAGGAGUUUGCAGAAUUGACUGGGCUGAUACUGUUUGGUCCUGGGAUAUUAUCAAUAAAUCUAUUCAAGGUUUAUUAUUGUUAAAAGCCUGCAUUUUUAAAGCAUCUGUUGAUAGGAUUUCAGUGUCACAGGCUGGGCCUGCAUUUAUUGCCCAUCCCUAGUUGCCCUGGAGAAGGUGGUGGUGAGCUGGCUCCUUGAACCGCUGCAGUCCAUGUGCUGUAGGAACACCCAGAGUGUUGUUAGGGAGAGAGUUCUAGGAUCUUGACCCAGUGACGGUGAAGGAACAGUGAUAUAGUUCCAGUUCAGGAUAGUGUAUGGCUUAGAGGUGAUGUUCCCAUACAUAUUGACAUAGAAGCAUAGAAAAUAGGAAUAAGAGUAGGCCAUUCAGCCCUUUGAGCCUGUUGCAACAUUCAAUAUGAUCAUCCAAUGCAGUCACCUGUUCCUGCUUCCUCUCCAUGCCCUUUGAUCCCUUUAGUCCUAAGAACUUUAUCUAACUCCUUGAAACAGUCAAUGUUUUGGCCUCAAUCACUUUCUGUGGCAGAGAAUUCCACAGGCUUACCGCGCUCUCGCUGAAGACAUUUCUCCUCAUCUCUACCGUGAAUGCUUAAACUAUGAUCCCUGUUUCUGGACUCUUGGCUCAUCGGAAACA